rnacentral:rRNA from 1 species
CACUCCUGCGGGAGGCAGCAGUGGGGAAUAUUGGACAAUGGGCGCAAGCCUGAUCCAGCCAUGCCGCGUGAGUGAUGAAGGCCCUAGGGUUGUAAAGCUCUUUCACCGGUGAAGAUAAUGACGGUAACCGGAGAAGAAGCCCCGGCUAACUUCGUGCCAGCAGCCGCGGUAAUACGAAGGGUGCUAGCGUUGUUCGGAUUUACUGGGCGUAAAGCGCACGUAGGCGGACUAUUAAGUCAGGGGUGAAAUCCCGGGGCUCAACCCCGGAACUGCCUUUGAUACUGGUAGUCUUGAGUUCGAGAGAGGUGAGUGGAAUUCCGAGUGUAGAGGUGAAAUUCGUAGAUAUUCGGAGGAACACCAGUGGCGAAGGCGGCUCACUGGCUCGAUACUGACGCUGAGGUGCGAAAGCGUGGGGAGCAAACAGGAUUAGAAACCCUAGUAGUCCCAU